GAUGAACGCUGGCGGCGUGCCUAAUACAUGCAAGUCGAGCGAACAGAUGAGGAGCUUGCUCCUCUGACGUUAGCGGCGGACGGGUGAGUAACACGUGGAUAACCUACCUAUAAGACUGGGAUAACUUCGGGAAACCGGAGCUAAUACCGGAUAAUAUAUUGAACCGCAGGGUGCAAUAGUGAAAGACGGUUUUGCUGUCACGUAUAGAUGGAUCCGCGCCGCAUUAGCUAGUUGGUAAGGUAACGGCUUACCAAGGCAACGAUGCGUAGCCGACCUGAGAGGGUGAUCGCCCACACUGGAGCUGAGACACGGUCCAUACUCCUACGGGAGGCAGCAGUAGGGAAUCUUCCGCAAUGGGCGAAAGCCUGACGGAGCAACGCCGCGUGAGUGAUGAAGGUCUUCGGAUCGUAAAACUCUGUUAUUAGGGAAGAACAAAUGUGUAAGUAACUAUGCACGUCUUGACGGUACCUAAUCAGAAAGCCCCGGCUAACUACGUG
rnacentral:rRNA from 1 species